AGUGGGGAAUAUUGGGACAAUGGGGGCAACCCUGAUCCAGCGAUGCCGCGUGAGUGAUGAAGGCCUUAGGGUUGUAAAACUCUUUCGUCAGGGAAGAUAAUGACGGUACCUGAAGAAGAAGAUCCGGCUAACUCCGUGCCAGCAGCCGCGGUAAUACGGAGGGAUCUAGAGUUAUUCGGAAUUACUGGGCGUAAAGCGAGCGUAGGCGGAUUUGUAAGUUGGAUGUGAAAUCCCAGAGCUUAACUCUGGAACUGCAUUCAAAACUACAUUUCUUGAGUUUGGUAGGGGAGAGUGGAAUUCCUAGUGUAGAGGUGAAAUUCGUAGAUAUUAGGAGGAACACCAGUGGCGAAGGCGACUCUCUGGACCAAUACUGACGCUGAGGUUCGAAAGCGUGGGUAGCGAACAGGAUUAGAUACCCUGGUAGUCCACGCAGUAAACGAUGAGUGCUAGAUGUUGGGAACAUUAGUUUUCAGUAUCGCAGCUAACGCAUUAAGCACUCCGCCUGGGAAGUACGGCCGCAAGGCUAAAACUCAAAUGAAUUGACGGGGACCCGCACAAGCGGUGGAUCAUGUGGUUUAAUUCGAAGCAACGCGAAGAACCUUACCGGCCCUUGACAUACCAAUCGCGAACUUAAGAGAUUAAGUUCUUCACUUCGGGUGGAUUGGAUACAGGUGCUGCAUGGCUGUCGUCAGCUCGUGUCGUGAGAUGUUGGGUUAAGUCCCGCAACGAGCGCAACCCUUACCUUUAAUUGCCAGCACAUUAUGGUGGGAACUUUAAAGGAACUGCCGGUGAUAAGCCGGAGGAAGGUGGGGAUGACGUCAAGUCCUCAUGGCCCUUACGGGCCGGGCUACACACGUGAUACAAUGGUAACUACAAAGAGCAGCGAUAGAGCAAUCUUCAGCUAAUCUCCAAAAGUUACCUCAGUUCGGAUUGCACUCUGCAACUCGAGUGCAUGAAGUUGGAAUCGCUAGUAAUCGUAGAUCAGCGCGCUACGGUGAAUACGU
rnacentral:rRNA from 1 species